AUUGAACGCUGGCGGCAUGCCUUACACAUGCAAGUCGAACGGUAACAGGUCUUCGGAUGCUGACGAGUGGCGAACGGGUGAGUAAUACAUCGGAACGUGCCUAGUAGUGGGGGAUAACUACUCGAAAGAGUGGCUAAUACCGCAUGAGAUCUACGGAUGAAAGCAGGGGAUCGCAAGACCUUGUGCUACUAGAGCGGCCGAUGGCGGAUUAGGUAGUUGGUGGGAUAAAAGCUUACCAAGCCGACGAUCUGUAGCUGGUCUGAGAGGACGAUCAGCAACACUGGGACUGAGACACGGCCCAGACUCCUACGGGAGGCAGCAGUGGGGAAUUUUGGACAAUGGGCGCAAGCCUGAUCCAGCAAUGCCGCGUGCAGGAUGAAGGCCUUCGGGUUGUAAACUGCUUUUGUACGGAACGAAAAGCCCUGGGUUAAUACCCUGGGGUCAUGACGGUACCGUAAGAAUAAGCACCGGCUAACUACGUGCCAGCAGCCGCAGUAA
rnacentral:rRNA from 1 species